rnacentral:rRNA from 1 species
UACACUCCUACGGGAGGCAGCAGUGGGGAAUUUUGGACAAUGGGCGAAAGCCUGAUCCAGCCAUGCCGCGUGCAGGAUGAAGGCCUUCGGGUUGUAAACUGCUUUUGUACGGAACGAAACGGCCUUUUCUAAUAAAGAGGGCUAAUGACGGUACCGUAAGAAUAAGCACCGGCUAACUACGUGCCAGCAGCCGCGGUAAUACGUAGGGUGCAAGCGUUAAUCGGAAUUACUGGGCGUAAAGCGUGCGCAGGCGGUUAUGUAAGACAGUUGUGAAAUCCCCGGGCUCAACCUGGGAACUGCAUCUGUGACUGCAUAGCUAGAGUACGGUAGAGGGGGAUGGAAUUCCGCGUGUAGCAGUGAAAUGCGUAGAUAUGCGGAGGAACACCGAUGGCGAAGGCAAUCCCCUGGACCUGUACUGACGCUCAUGCACGAAAGCGUGGGGAGCAAACAGGAUUAGAUACCCGAGUAGUCC